CAGCAGCCGCGGUAAUACGGAGGGUGCAAGCGUUAAUCGGAAUUACUGGGCGUAAAGCGUGCGCAGGCGGUUAUAUAAGACAGAUGUGAAAUCCCCGGGCUCAACCUGGGAACUGCAUUUGUGACUGUAUAGCUAGAGUACGGCAGAGGGGGAUGGAAUUCCGCGUGUAGCAGUGAAAUGCGUAGAUAUGCGGAGGAACACCGAUGGCGAAGGCAAUCCCCUGGGCCUGUACUGACGCUCAUGCACGAAAGCGUGGGGAGCAAACAGGAUUAGAUACCCCUGUAGUCCCUGUCUCUUAUAC
rnacentral:rRNA from 1 species